UACGAAGGGUGCAAGCGUUACUCGGAAUUACUGGGCGUAAAGCGUGCGUAGGUGGUUCGUUAAGUCUGAUGUGAAAGCCCUGGGCUCAACCUGGGAAUGGCAUUGGAAACUGGCGAUCUAGAGUGCGGUAGAGGGUAGUGGAAUUCCCGGUGUAGCAGUGAAAUGCGUAGAGAUCGGGAGGAACAUCUGUGGCGAAGGCGACUGCCUGGACCAGCACUGACGCUCAUGCACGAAAGCGUGGGGAGCAAACAGG
rnacentral:rRNA from 1 species